rnacentral:rRNA from 1 species
UGCAUAUCAAUAAGCGGAGGAAAAGAAACCAACAGGGAUUGCCCUAGUAACGGCGAGUGAAGCGGCAACAGCUCAAAUUUGAAAUCUGGCUCUUUUAGGGUCCGAGUUGUAAUUUGCAGAGGGCGCUUUGGCUUUGGCAGCGGUCCAAGUUCCUUGGAACAGGACGUCACAGAGGGUGAGAAUCCCGUACGUGGUCGCUAGCUAUUGCCGUGUAAAGCCCCUUCGACGAGUCGAGUUGUUUGGGAAUGCAGCUCUAAAUGGGAGGUAAAUUUCUUCUAAAGCUAAAUAUUGGCCAGAGACCGAUAGCGCACAAGUAGAGUGAUCGAAAGAUGAAAAGCACUUUGGAAAGAGAGUCAAACAGCACGUGAAAUUGUUGAAAGGGAAGCGCUUGCAGCCAGACUUGCUUGCAGUUGCUCAUCCGGGCUUUUGCCCGGUGCACUCUUCUGCAGGCAGGCCAGCAUCAGUUUGGGCGGUGGGAUAAAGGUCUCUGACACGUUCCUUCCUUCGGGUUGGCCAUAUAGGGGAGACGUCAUACCACCAGCCUGGACUGAGGUCCGCGCAUCUGCUAGGAUGCUGGCGUAAUGGCUGUAAGCGGCCCGUCUUGAAACACGGACCA